rnacentral:rRNA from 1 species
UGGGGAAUAUUGCACAAUGGGCGCAAGCCUGAUGCAGCGACGCCGCGUGGGGGAUGACGGCCUUCGGGUUGUAAACUCCUUUCGCCAGGGACGAAGCGUUUUGUGACGGUACCUGGAGAAGAAGCACCGGCUAACUACGUGCCAGCAGCCGCGGUAAUACGUAGGGUGCAAGCGUUGUCCGGAAUUACUGGGCGUAAAGAGCUCGUAGGUGGUUUGUCGCGUCGUCUGUGAAAUUCCACAGCUUAACUGUGGGCGUGCAGGCGAUACGGGCAUAACUUGAGUACUGUAGGGGUAACUGGAAUUCCUGGUGUAGCGGUGAAAUGCGCAGAUAUCAGGAGGAACACCGAUGGCGAAGGCAGGUUACUGGGCAGUUACUGACGCUGAGGAGCGAAAGCAUGGGUAGCAAACAGGAUUAGAUACCCUGGUAGUCCAUGCCGUAAACGAUGGGCGCUAGGUGUAGGGGCCUUUUGGGGUUUCUGUGCCGUAGCUAACGCAUUAAGCGCCCCGCCUGGGGAGUACGGCCGCAAGGCUA